UAUAAGUAUUAUACAGCGAAACUGCGAAUGGCUCAUUAAAACAGUUAUAGUUUAUUUGACAAUCGAAUUUACAUGGAUAACCGUGGUAAUUCUAGAGCUAAUACAUGCUGGUGUGCCCAACUUUUUGGAAGGGCGGUAUUUAUUAGAUAACAAGCCAAUAUUCCUCUGGUCUAUUGUGGUGACUCAUAAUAACUGAUCGAAUCGCAAGGCCUAUGGCCGCGAUAAGUCAUUCAAGUUUCUGCCCCAUCAGCUUUCGAUGGUAGUGUAUUGGACUACCAUGGCGUUUACGGGUAACGGAGGAUUAGGGUUCGAUUCCGGAGAGGGAGCCUGAGAAACGGCUACCACAUCUAAGGAAGGCAGCAGGCGCGUAAAUUACCCAAUCCUGAUUCGGGGAGGUAGUGACAAGAAAUAACGGACCGAGGCCCUCGGGCUUCGGGAUUGCAAUGAGCCGAAUUUACACCCCUUAGCGAGGAUCAAUUGGAGGGCAAGUCUGGUGCCAGCAGCCGCGGUAAUUCCAGCUCCAAUAGCGUAUAUUAAAGUUGUUGCAGUUAAAAAGCUCGUAGUUGGAUUUCUGGGGGGGUGCCAAUGUCCGCCGACGUGCGUGCGCAGCGGCGCCCUUCCAUCCUUCUGUUAACGCCUCUUGGCAUUCAUUUGCUGGUGGCGGGCUCAGAUAUUUUACCUUGAGAAAAUUAGAGUGUUUCAGGCAGGCUAGGCCGGAAUACAUUAGCAUGGAAUAAUGGAAUAGGACUACGGUCUCUUUGUUGGUUUGAGGGACUGCAGUAAUGAUU
rnacentral:rRNA from 1 species